rnacentral:tRNA from 1 species
GGGGUUCUGGCUCAGUGGUAGAGCACUCGCUUAGCACAUGUGAGGUCUUGAGUUCGAUUCUCAGCACCACA